GGGAUGAUGGGAGUUGUAGUCCAAAAACAGCUGGAGGCCCAAGGUUGGGAAACACUGGACUAGAGGACCCUUAGGAUUCCUUCUAAUUCUGUAGGUCUGUGAUUCUAACAUCUCUGGGGGGGGGCACACAUCUUGCAUCUCCAGCUAAAAAGAGCUGGAUGAGCAGUUUACAAUUAAUUCCAUGUGGUCAUAUUCUGGGUGCACUUAACUGUUGUUGCACCUCCCCCCCCCCAACGGGUCUUUAGCAGUGAGUGACUGCUGACCUGCAUUUACUACUGACGCUGUGCCUUGGAUUUCAACCUCUUUAUUUGGCUAAGUGCUGGUGCAGUGGUUGAUCAGCUUGCACUCUCUUUGUGUUGUGCUAAUUGUUGCCCUCCACCCACUCCUUGGGUCCUGGCUGGGCCCUUCAAAUCCAGAGAGAAGCUGGGGUUAUGCCAAAGCAGCCAGCCCACAUUGAUAGGUAGUAAAUUACAUACAAUAGGAUGUUCCAGCCCUGAAUGACAGAAGUGUGGAAACUUGCUCUAAUUGCCUUGUGAAAAGCUCAGGAACAAGGCAGCAAAAAUUACGCUUGUCGUCUUCUCUGGUCCUCUCCCUGGUCUUUGGUUCUGUGUUGUGAUUGAUCCUGUUCUAGCCACUGAAACAUGGCUUGGAAUAAGACUUGACAACUUCAUGAUUGUCUAAGAAAUGGUAGGAAGGAGCAUAGGCUAAUUGCUCAUGGAAUUAUAAAGCUUUAUCAAGUACCUCCAAAGCCAUUAAGAAUCUGUUUGGUAUACAAAAUAAUUGAGCUUCUUAUAAAAGUGUAGUCAGGCAGCUGAUGUCAUAACUGGGGUCUAUAAAAAGACUAUUAAUCUUUGGUCGGUGGUGUAACCCUGCAGGACUCUUCAACCAAAUGUUUGGCCCCUGCCUCCGGAUGGGAAGUGUAAGUCCAAGGUGCAGGGUUCUUUGUGUUGGGCAAGGUUAUCCUUGGGCCUUCCUAAGUCUGGGCUGGUUUGUUUUUCUUCAUUAAGAGUUUUUUCCUGGGCUGCUUAAGCUUUUCUUUCUUUGGUGCUGCUUUCAUUUCCUUUCCUCUUUUUGGGGGGAAGCUUCAGUUUGGGAAGUGCUUUGUAAAAACAACUUGGACGUUUUUCUUAUUUUGUCUGCUCAAUCUCUAGGAAUUUCCAAUGAGAGGAAUUUUUGAGCAAGACACCUGCUGAAAGGUCAAAAUGGGGAAGUGAAGGCAAAGGUGCCUGCAGCUGCAGCUCCUGCCCCAGUGGAUGCCUGGAAAAGUACAGGACAAGUGCCUGGGCAGCAGGUUCAAUGUUGAGAGACGUACUUCAACAGGAAGCUGGUACAGCUCUUUCCUGCUCACAGGUCUUUAAUAAUCAUCAUAUGGAAGAACCACCAUUAAUCCAGAUGAUAAUUGGCAGUUGGCCCUUUGGGGUUUCAGACAGAGAGUCUUUUCCCAGCCCCACCUGGAGAUGCUGAGGAUUGAACCUGGGACCUUGUGGAUCCAAAACAGAAGCUCUAUUGUUCUACUUCUGGAGCACCUCGGGUUCCCCAUGCCUGGUUAUUGGACUCCAACUACUCCUGACUGUUGGCCAUGCUGACCGGGGCCAAUGGCAGCACACCUGGAGAAGGACACAUUCUUCAACUCUAUUUCUUUUCAAAGAAUGAAAACCUUUUUGCAGCCCGUAGCCAGAAUGAAGGCAAGAUAUCCUUUGAAGUUGGGGAAAGAGCCACAGGGGUGGUGGUUGUGGUGAGACUUUAUUUCUAUACCACCUGUCCAUUACCCAGGUGAGGGAACACCUUUUAAAUGACACACAUACCGAGAGACUCAAGAAUAUACACCCAGGGUCUCUGGUUGUUACAUCCUUGUGAUGGGCCAAGUAUCUCUGGCAGCAUUAUUCGUAGCUUACACGGCUCAGCCUUUUUGCCCUCAAUUUUUUUUAUCUGGCCACAGUUCCAGGCUGUACCGAGAAGCCAUUUCCCUCCGUUCAGAUCCCUAGAAGCAGAAGGUCCAGUUACCUGCAUCUCUGUUGCUCGCAUGGGGCUCCUGUCUCUCAGCUUCAUCAGAGAGAAGACCUUCAUGAUGGUUUUCUCCACCAGCUCCGAUCUAACCUGUGCGUUCAGAGGUGGCUGCAAGGCACUGAAGAGUAAUGAGAAAGAAGGGGAGGGGAGAUGAUCCAAAGCUCACAGAAAAAGUGCUAAUUCAGCAGCUGUGGAGCAUAAUUAUGGAACCAGGUGGUAGGAGAGCAGGGCUGAGAAUUUCACCAGAAAACAAAAUGCAAAGAUCCGUCACCAAAGUGACCUCUACAAAGGGUCACUGACAAGGAGGCCACCCGUGUAUGUGCCUUCAGACAAUUUGGGCAACUCUGUCAAUAGGUUAAGAGGGCACUUUAAUAUGUCAGGAAGCUGAGACAGUGUCAGGACUGCUGUGAUUUAGAGAUGCCUCCUUACAGGGAGGAGUGAGGGUGGAGAAUGUAUUGGGCUGGUCCUGGGAGACACCUGCAAGGAAUUCAGAGGUGGUCUCAAGGCACUGAAGAGGAAAGAGUUGUGGGGAAGCACACAGCAUGUCAGAGAACUGGAGACACCAUCCCUGCCUCCACCACACCAAGCCCUGAAUUGUGCUCUCUCUCCAGCCCAGCCCACUUGACACCUUCUUUGCAACUGGCAAGUGGGUCCUCCUAGGGGAGAAGAGUGUACUAGAAGUACCUCCCCGUACUUACGUCAGGUGGGUGACUGCGUCCAUGGCUUGCCGGAGCAGAGAAACUGCGAAGCUCCCCAGGGGCUCCUCUUCAAUAACUUCCUGUUGUGGGGAAGUACGGGGUACAAUAUCAGGGUAUGGCAAGGGAGGUUCCAGGAAUAGGUGGGGCAGUGACAAGCUGUAGGGAGACUAGAAGUACCUCCCCGUACUUACGUCAUGCGGAUUAUGGUUUCCAUCGCUUGGUGUAAGACUGAGAGCGAUGCCAGCGGCUCCUCUUUGAUAACCUCCUGUUGUGGGGAAGUACGGGGUACAAUUUCAGGGUAUGGCAAGGGAGGUGCCAGGAAUACGUGGGGCAGUGACCGUACUUACGUCAGAUGGAUUACAGCCUCUAUUGCUUGUCUCAGGGCGGUGACUGAGAAGCCCCCCUGGGGCUCCUCUUCGAUAAUAAGUACUGCUGGGUGCUGAUCAUACCCCCUGGGGCUCCUCUUUGAUAAUAUCCAGUUGUGGGGAAGUACAGGGUACAAUUUCAGGGUAUGGCAAGGGAGGUGCCAGGAAUAGGUAGGGCAGUGACCGUACUUACAUCAGAUGGAUUACAGCCUCUAUUGCUUGUAAGUACGGGGAGGUACAGUACUUCUAGUCUCCCUACAGCUUGUCUCUCUGGUUGUUACAUCCUUGUGAUGGGCCAAGUAUCUCUGGCAGCAUUAUUCGUAGCUUACAUGGCUCAGCCUUUUUGCCCUCAAUUUUUUAAAAUCUGGCCACAGUUCCAACUGACAAGCCAUUUCCGUCCGUUCAGAUCCCUAGAAGCAGAUGGUCUUAAAAUUGGAUGUGUUAAAAUUGGAUGUGUAUAAGGCCUUCGACACAAUUAGACAUAAGUUCUUAUGGAAUAUUAUGCAGGAGCUUUUUGGAGCAUGGCAAUGGAGAAUGAGCCCAGCGGCUCCUCUUCAAUAACUUCCUGUUGUGGGGAAGUACAGGCUACAAUUUCAGGGUAUGGCAAGGGAGGUUCCAGGAAUAGGUGGGGCAGUGACAAGCUGUAGGGAGACUAGAAGUACCUCCCCGUACUUACGUCAUGCGGAUUAUGGUUUCCAUCGCUUGGUGUAAGACUGAGAGCGAUGCCAUUGGCUCCUCUUUGAUAACCUCCUGUUGUGGGGAAGCACACAGCAUGUCAGAACUGGAGACACCAUCCCUGCCACCACCACACCAAGCCCUGAAUUGUGCUCUCUCUCCAGCCCAGCCCACUUGACCCCUUCUUUGCAACUGGCAAGUGGGUCCUCCUAGGGGAGAAGAGUGGGCACUGAAGAGGAAAGAGAAAGAAGGGGGGAGGAAAUGAUCAGCACCCAGCAGUCCAUAAACCUGGUGAGGAAACGUGCACUGUGUUUGGCCAAGAUGUACAAUUUCAGGGUAUGGCAAGGGAGGUACCAUGAAUAGGUGGGGCAGUGACAAGCUGUAGGGAGACUAGAAGUACCUCCCCAUACUUACGUCAUGCGGAUUAUGGUUUCCGUCGUUUGGUGUAAGACUGAGAACGAUGCCAGCGGCUCCUCUUCGAUAACCUCCUGUUGUGGGGAAGCACACAGCAUGUCAGAACUGGAGACACCAUUGCUGCCACCACCACACCAAGCCCUGAAUUGUGCUCUCUCUCCAGCCCAGCCCACUUGACAACUAUGGGAGAAGAGUGGGCCUCCUGGAUCUGGGAAUAAGAUCCAUCUUUCACCUGCACAGAGCUCUCCCUCUCCCUCUUCCCACCUGUGGCUUCCAGCAACUGAUAUUCAGAAACACUGCUGCCUUCCGCUGUGGAGGUAGAACAGGGUCCUGAGGCACCCUGGACCGAAGAUGCUCAGGGCUUUGUAAAAAAAAA